rnacentral:rRNA from 1 species
CCCUUAGAUGUUCGGGGCCGCACGCGCGCUACACUGAAGGAAUCAGCACGUCUUUCUCCUUGUCCGAAAGGACUGGGUAACCCGCUGAACCUCCUUCGUGCUAGGGAUUGGGGCUUGUAAUUCUUCCCCAUGAACGAGGAAUUCCCAGUAAGCGCGAGUCAUAAGCUCGCGUUGAUUACGUCCCUGCCCUUUGUACACACCGCCCGUCGCUACUACCGAUUGGAUGGUUUAGUGAGAUCCUCGGAUUGGUCCCGGCGCGGCCUCUGGUCGUGCCGGAGUGCCGAAAAGAAUGUCGAACUUGAUCAUCUAGAGGAAGGAAAAGUCGUAACA